rnacentral:lncRNA from 1 species
UGUUUUUUUAAAGCUCGUUUUACUUCGCUAAACUCUGGGAAUGGGACUAGUCACUCACUGUGUCUUUGAUAACAUAUGUGAUGUGAGUGACUCUCUUUCAUUCCCUUUGUCCUUCCAUCUUUUUCUAUUUCCUUCCACCUUCUCCUCCUUACUCCCCUCCUCCUUCCUUCUCUUGCACUAAAGAGUGCAGAGUGGCUAUUGAUAGGGGCUGGGGAGAAUUACCCAUAAGAGAACUGCUGCAGUUGUUUGUGCUCUGUCUAGAGUACCAGCUGGCUUUAAACCACAGACUCAUCAACCUGGAGGAGGAAGGGAGAGGAGGUAAAAGCAGCAAUAGAGUCUAAGCUGGAGCCAACAGCCUCUGUUCUAUGUUCUUAAUCUAUUCUGCACUAGACAGCAUCUUGGCACACAGCUCAAGGUGGACUUGAUGUCUCUCCCCCUUGCUCUGUCUCUCCCUCUCCCUGUCUCCUCCCAUUUUCCCAGGCAGGCUUCAAAUCUAAUACACAAAAAAGGAUGAUCUCAACCCCUCCCCCUUUAAAAAGUGUAUUAAUCAUUUUAUUUGUUUACUUUUCACGUUUUAUCCCCCUUCCUGCUCUCCCCUCCCUGAGGCCCCCCAUUUGACCCCUCCCUUAUUGUCUGUCCUUGAUGCACCAAUUUGUCCAUAUGUCUGUCAAUUUAUGUUUGUGGUUUUGUUGUUUGAAUGAUUGUUGUUCUGUGUUUCAUGUUAAAAAAAGAAAGUUAAAACUUUAUCUCCUGGCUGACCAUCCUUUGAUUUAGUUUAACUUGUUUAAAAGGCAGUCUCAUUUUGGAAAGCAGAAACUGAUAAUUUAUACUGCACCAUGGUUAGGAUCCAAGUACAGCUGGAAAAGUCCUGAUAGAGGCUGAUUAUCUACACAAGCAGCUCUUAAAGUGGCCAACAGGUUUUUGCUUUUAGCAGGACAUUAGCUUAAAAUUGGUAACUAAGAUUUAGAGUCAUUCUAAACAACACAUGGCAUGAGCCAACCCAGGAAAACAGGUCUUUAAAUAUUUAUCUAAAUUGGAAUAAUAUUUUGUGUAAUUAUUAUUCCAGAAACUAGACUUUUCUUAUUGAGGUAUUAAAAGCUGCACUGUCAUGCAUUCAUAUAUGUGAACUGGCAGCCAAACUUUGUAACGUGAACGUGAUGAUUUUGGUAUUGAUUUUAAAGAGAAUAGAUUGUUUAAAAUUGGGUUUUGUUUUCCAAAAGUUAUGCAUGUAUUGUAAUAUCGCAAAAGAAACUUAAAAAUUAUGGAUAAAAUUGCUUCCCACAUCCACGUUUUUCUGGUUUCUCGACAUAUUCCAAAUCCUAGUUUGUGCAUUUCUCAUUUUCCACGUUUUUCAGUAUUUUUCGCCAUAUUCCA